ensembl:lncRNA
UGACUCUGUGCAAUACAUGGACUGUAAUCUGCCAGGCUCCUCUGUCCAUGGAAUUUUCCAGACGGUCAAAAGGAGUGACGGUUCAUUAACUCAGGGUGAGUAAAGCAGGGGAUCAACACACCUUACUCAGCAACACUCCACUCAUGACUCAUUGUGACCACUGAAUAUGAGACCUGGAAGCCCCAGAGAUGAACCUACUUCUCCCUGUCCAUUUGACAAGCAAGUAAAUCAAUGCCCAGAGAGGAUGAGGAAAAGGAGGUACCAGGAAUGACUCAGCAGCUCACCACAAGAAUCUCCUGGAAGCCUGCCUGGCCUUCUGUCAGAUGCACUUGGUUGAAUUGCUUUUCAGUAUUAUUACUGAGGUCUUAUUGUUGAGAACACUUUCUUUGGGUUUCCUGCUUAUUUCUAAGCUGAAUAAAAUCUAUGUGUGUGUGUGUGUGAUUAUUAUUUUUUUUUUUCUGUUUGCUUUCUUAAACUUCAGCUUCC